rnacentral:rRNA from 1 species
UACGUAGGGUGCAAGCGUUAAUCGGAAUUACUGGGCGUAAAGCGUGCGCAGGCGGUUUUGUAAGACAGAUGUGAAAUCCCCGGGCUCAACCUGGGAACUGCAUUUGUGACUGUAGAGCUGGAGUGCGGCAGAGGGGGAUGGAAUUCCGCGUGUAGCAGUGAAAUGCGUAGAUAUGCGGAGGAACACCGAUGGCGAAGGCAAUCCCCUGGGCCUGCACUGACGCUCAUGCACGAAAGCGUGGGGAGCAAACAGG